rnacentral:rRNA from 1 species
GAUGAACGCUAGCGGCAGGCCUAACACAUGCAAGUCGAGGGGCAGCACAUAAAGUGGUUUACUACUUUUGGUGGCGACCGGCGGACGGGUGCGUAACGCGUAUGCAACCUGCCUCCAACAGGGGGAUAACGGAGAGAAAUUUCUACUAAUACCCCAUAAUAUCAGAAUCGGCAUCGGUUUUGGUUGAAAACUCCGGUGGUUGGAGAUGGGAAUGCGUUGUAUUAGAUAGUUGGUGAGGUAACGGCUCACCAAGUCAACAAUACAUAGGGGGACUGAGAGGUUAGCCCCCCACACUGGUACUGAGACACGGACCAGACUCCUACGGGAGGCAGCAGUGAGGAAUAUUGGUCAAUGGGGGCAACCCUGAACCAGCCAUGCCGCGUGCAGGAAGACGGCUCUAUGAGUUGUAAACUGCUUUUACAAGGGGAUAAAGCGGUGUACGUGUACACCGUUGAAGGUACCUUGGGAAUAAGGAUCGGCUAACUCCGUGCCAGCCGCCGCAGUAA